rnacentral:rRNA from 1 species
AUUGAACGCUGGCGGCAGGCCUAACACAUGCAAGUCGAACGAGUGGCGGACGGGUGAGUAAUGUCUGGGAAACUGCCCGAUGGAGGGGGAUAACUACUGGAAACGGUAGAUAAUACCGCAUACCAUCGGAUGUGCCCAGAUGGGAUUAGCUAGUCGGUGGGGUAACGACUCACCUAGGCGACGAUCCCUAGCUGGUCUGAGAGGAUGACCAGCCACACGGGAAUUGAGACACGGUCGAGACUCCUACGGGAGGCAGCAGUGGGGAAUAUGGCACAAUGGGCGCAAGGCUGAUGCAGCCAUGCCGCGUGUGUGAAGAAGGCCUUCGGGUUGUAAAGCACUGUCAGCGGGGAGGCGUUACCCGCAGAAGAAGCACCGGCUAACUUCGUGCCAGCAGCCGCGGUAAUUC